GACGAACGCUGGCGGCGUGCUUAACACAUGCAAGUCGAACGGAAAGGCCCUGCUUUUGUGGGGUGCUCGAGUGGCGAACGGGUGAGUAACACGUGAGUAACCUGCCCUUGACUUUGGGAUAACUUCAGGAAACUGGGGCUAAUACCGGAUAGGAGCUCCUGCUGCAUGGUGGGGGUUGGAAAGUUUCGGCGGUUGGGGAUGGACUCGCGGCUUAUCAGCUUGUUGGUGGGGUAGUGGCUUACCAAGGCUUUGACGGGUAGCCGGCCUGAGAGGGUGACCGGCCACAUUGGCACUGCGAUACGGCCCAGACUCCUACGGGAGGCAGCAGUGGGGAAUAUUGCACAAUGGGCGGAAGCCUGAUGCAGCAACUCCGCGUGCGGGAUGACGGCCUUCGGGUUGUAAACCGCUUUCGCCUGUGACGAAGCGUGAGUGACGGUAAUGGGUAAAGAAGCACCGGCUAACUACGUG
rnacentral:rRNA from 1 species